rnacentral:rRNA from 1 species
AUUGAACGCUGGCGGCAGGCUUAACACAUGCAAGUCGAACGAGUGGCGGACGGGUGAGUAAUGCUUGGGAAUCUAGCUUAUGGAGGGGGAUAACUACGGGAAACUGUAGCUAAUACCGCAUACCAUAGGAUGAGCCCAAGUGGGAUUAGGUAUUUGGUGAGGUAAAGGCUCACCAAGCCGACGAUCUCUAGCUGGUCUGAGAGGAUGACCGUCAACAUUGGGACGGAGACACGGCCCAGACUCAUACGGGAGGAAGCAGUGGGGAAUAUUGCGCAAUGGGGGCAACCUGACGCAGCCAUGCCGGGUGAAUGAAGAAGUCCUUCGGGUUGUAAAGUUCUUUCGGUAGCGAGGCGUUAACGACAGAAGAAGCACCGGCUAACUCCGUGCCAGCCGCCGCGGUAAUUC